rnacentral:tRNA from 1 species
GCGCUGGUGGUGCAAUGGCUAACAUUCAAGCCUUCCAAGCUUGUGAUCCGGGUUCGAAUCCCGGCCGGCGCA